ACCACACAAACAAAAAAUAGAAAAACAACACUGAUAGUGUCUUGUAUAAGGUCAUUCUCCUCUUCUUCCUGUUCCUCCGUGUUCCCCAGCCCUCUGCUUUCGGAGGCAGACAUGGAGAGACUCAAAUGGGUAGCAUGUCCCUGGGGGUGACAGGGUGGGAGAGCUGGGAGCAGAAGAGGUGAAGAGCAGCAGCUUUCUGAUGGGACAGUAGGAACAAUGAUCAUCUGGGGCAAUGACUGUGGGAACUGCACAUUGUGAAGAGCUGUGGCUGGAGCAACUGACUUAUUGGGGACCAUACUUCUGGGCUGUCCUGGGAAUCUGUAGAGCCUUCAGGGAGGAACAGGAAAGAGCAGCAGCUUGGUGUAUUCUUCAGCUGAUGAACAUCUGCUGCUGGAGAGAGAAUCUUGAACGUAUGCCACCCACCAAGCUCAGAAUUAAACCGAGCAGGAUUCUAAAGGCUGCCCAUUGCAGAGCACCCUUUAGGAGGCAGCCCCAGAGCAGUCAGGCUGCUGCACCCUUCCUGUCUGAGCAGUGUGCUGCUCUGGGAUGGCUUGGUUACCAAAACACCUACAGAAGUGGAGGUAAUUUGGCUUUGUCUUCUGCAAGCCUAACCCUGAACUUAAAUUGUCUGCAGAGCCCAGCACGUAACACCCAGCUGUCUGUAGGAUGAUUUUGAUGAUAAUCUGAGGAGUGCCCUAUUUAAUUUACCCAUGCAGUAGCAAUAUUUAGGGAUAGUGAAGCCCACAUGGAAGUGUAAUUCAGUACUGUACUGCUUUUAGAGAAAGCUGAAACAAUAUCCACCUGUUGCAGAGCAUACUUGAGCAUUUUCAGUUAUUAUUUCUGCUCCAUUUAAGGGGCUAAUACUGUGCUUGAGGGAAUGUAUUAAUCAUGCGUAAAGCAAUACUGGAAUUUGGUUACUAACGGGUUAGUUCUUGUUCAUAGCAGAUGCUCUCCAUAGCAGGAAGGCUUGGGAGGGGAAUUCACUGUUAAUAAUGCACUCUCCUGUUGUUGCAAUUGUUCUUUUUAUUAUUAUUAUUAUUAUUAUUAUUAUUAUUAUUAUUAUUAUUAUUUAUUUCUUUUUACUGAGCACACUAAUCAAGCUGUAUUAUAGUCAUGUGGGAGUGCAGCAUGACUAGUGCACUUCUGAGAGCCUGCUGCCAGGGAGUGCUGCACCAAACUCAGCACUUCCUGCCUUCCUCUUUUUUUUUUUUUUUUCCUCUGCUAAAGCAAACAUAAACCCCCAAAUCACUUCAUUUACAUAGUGCUGUCACUAGUCUCAUCACCUCUAACAACUUGGUAGGAACAGGAGUAUUUGAAGCAAUGUUUUAUGCACAGGCUAGAUUUCCCAUGGAAGUCAGUGGGUAACUUCCUUCAGCUGGCAAGGGAGCUGUUGUCACCAACUCAUUUCCUCUGUAAUGACCCUUCUCUUUCUGAAGUUUUGCUUGUUUUUAUGUACAGUUUCCACAGUAAUUUUUAUUGUUAAUUUUGUGUAGCAGCGAGCAGAGAAGUUUUUGUUUACAUAGCAUAAGACAUAAGCCAUUGUUGUGUUGAUCAUCCAUGAUGCUCAUUUCACAUCUCAUCUGUUAUAUGAGUGAAAUAUGAAAAUAAUUUUGUUUUUCUAGCAUAUCAGGAAUAAAAUGGCUUAAAC
rnacentral:lncRNA from 1 species